rnacentral:rRNA from 1 species
CCUACGGGUGGCAGCAGUGGGGAAUAUUGGGCAAUGGGCGAAAGCCUGACCCAGCAACGCCGCGUGAAGGAAGACGGCUUUCGGGUUGUAAACUUCUUUUGUCAGGGACGAAGCAAGUGACGGUACCUGACGAAUAAGCCACGGAUAACUACGUGCCAGCAGCCGCGGUAAUACGUAGGUGGCAAGCGUUAUCCGGAUUUACUGGGUGUAAAGGGCGUGUAGGCGGGACUGCAAGUCAGAUGUGAAAGCCACGGGCUCAACCGGUGGCCUGCAUUUGAAACUGUAGUUCUUGAGUACUGGAGAGGCAGACGGAAUUCCUAGGGUAGCGGUGAAAUGCGUAGAUAUGAGGAGGAACACCAGUGGCGAAGGCGGUCUGCUGGACAGCGACUGACGCUGAGGCGCGAAAGCGUGGGGAGCGAACAGGAUUAGAUACCCGAGUAGUC